GCGACCCAUUUUUAAAACCCCCUUUCCAAGUUCAGAAUCAGUGGCAACUCGUGUCUGAAAGAAUCAAGAAGCAAGCUUGAAAGAUCUAUAUAAAAUGAAAUUAGUGUCGAUAUUGGCUAUAGUCCUAUACAUUUUAAUGGGCAUUCUGGACAAAGUAUCCUUCUCUUGCAUAUACAUAUAGAUUAUGCAGUCAAAAAACGGAUGGCCGUUGCACUUGUGAAGAUAUUACUAUGCCUGGAGCCAGCUAUGAAGACUAUGAAGAACCAACCGAAUAAAAACCAAUAGAAAUUCGGAGCCAGAAAUUUGGUCAACCUAAAACGUAUACCGUGUGGAAGUCAACAUCAUUCUUGGCCACUUCAAAAUGUUUAAAAUAUGCAAAAAGCAAUAAUAAAUGGAUUGUCACUA